rnacentral:rRNA from 1 species
GACGAACGCUGGCGGCGUGCUUAACACAUGCAAGUCGAACGGAAAGGCCCUGCUUUUGUGGGGUGCUCGAGUGGCGAACGGGUGAGUAACACGUGAGUAACCUGCCCUUGACUUUGGGAUAACUUCAGGAAACUGGGGCUAAUACCGACUAGGAGCUCCUGCUGCAUGGUGGGGGUUGGAAAGUUUCGGCGGUUGGGGAUGGACUCUCGGCUUAUCAGCUUGUUGGGGGGGUAGUGGCUUACCAAGGCUUUGGCUGGUAGCCGGCCUGAGAGGGUGACCGGCCACAUUGGGACUGCGAGACGGCCCAGACUCCUACGGGAGGCAGCAGUGGGGAAUAUUGCACAAUGGGCGGAAGCCUGAUGCAGCAGCGCCGCGUGCGGGAUGACGGCCUUCGGGUUGUAAACCGCUUUCGCCUGUGACGAAGCGUGAGUGACGGUAAUGGGUAAAGAAGCACCGGCUAACUACGUG